rnacentral:ncRNA from 1 species
UUAAGUGAAAAUGCUUAAAUGACUAAUUAGACGAUAAGACCCUAUAGAGCUUUAUAUAUGUAUUCUGUUAAGUAUUAAAAUUUUUAUUAGUUAAUAACCAGGUUGUAUAUUUUAUUGGGGCAAUAAAAGAAUAAAAUUAACUUCUUAUUAAUAAAUUUUAUUUAAUUAAUUAACUUCUAAGUAUAAAAUUUAAUAGAAGUUACCUUAGGGAUAACAGCGUUAUUAAAGUUGAGAGUUCUUAUCGACACUUUAGAUUGCGACCUCGAUGUUGAAUUAAAAAUUCUUUGAGGGGCAGCAUUUUUAUUAGAUGGUCUGUUCGACCAUUAAAUUUUUACAUGAUUUGAGUUCAAACCGGUGUGAGCCAGGUUGGUUUCUAUCUUUUAGUUU